CUCGAUGUCGGCUCAUCGCAUCCUGGGGCUGAAGAAGGUCCCAAGGGUUGGUCUGUUCGCCCAUUAAAGCGGUACGCGAGCUGGGUUUAGAACGUCGUAAGACAGUUCGGUCCCUAUCCGUCAUGGGCAUAGGAUAUUUGAAGGGAGCUGCCCUUAGUACGAGAGGAUUGGGGUGGACGAGCCUCUAGUGCACCGGUUGUCGCGCCAGCGGCAUAGCCGGGUAGCUACGCUCGGAAAGGAUAAUCGCUGAAAGCAUCUAAGCGAGAAGCCUGCCCUAAGAUAAGAUAUCCCUGACUUGGGCUUGCCCAAGUCUUGAAGUCACCUUGGAGAUGACAAGGUUGAUAGGUCACAGAUGCAAGCACAGUAAUGUGUUUAGUCGAGUGAUACUAAUCUGACGUUCGGCUUGACCAU
rnacentral:rRNA from 1 species